CUCUCAAGCGUCAUGUAUCUGAUGGAGAUGGUGUUGGAGGGAAACUCAAAGAAUGCAGCUAUAAGAAAACACAUACUCUAUGCUAAUCUCUUUAUCUAAUUUAUGCUUUCAUCUUUCAAGUAAAUACAUAUUCCCUAACAGCAGUGUCCAGUGAAGCAGGAAGUCAAUGGACGCGGUAAAGGGAUGGGUCACUGACGCGAAUCACGUGACCAGAACUGCCAAAAGAGGCGAACAUGCCCAAAAAGGGGGCAUGUCUGUCCAAAGAAUUGGAAGGCCAGCCUGGCAUCAGUGUCCCUAUGUAUCACAGUGUCGGUGUCCCUAUG